rnacentral:tmRNA from 2 species
GGGGGUGUUCCGGAUUCGACUUGCGGAAACAACGUGGCGUAAGCAUACCGAAGGCUCGGCUUCGUAAAAACGGAACUUAAAAUUAAAGGCUGAAGACAGAAACUUACAGCUUGCUGCCGCUUAAUCAGCAGCCGUCGACCCUGUAGUCCUGCGGACAGGAGUUCGGCGUGGUUAGCAGGGGAACGAGCGUCGUAGCGUCUCGGACGACGAACGGGAACAGAGACUUGGCGGAACGCGAGUUUGCCUCUUGACUUGCGGGAAGCGACACUUAACAAGCGGCUAAGUAUGUAGAAAGCGACGCGGGGUUCCGUGAGGACAGGGGUUCAAAUCCCCUCACCUCCACCA